GCGAAUAAUGAAUCGUUGUGAAUAUAUAGAACUAACGUCCAACGAUUUGAUUUGUCCCAUCAGUGAAUAAUUUCAUUUAUGAUGACGAAACGAAAAAAAAAAGGAAUCGAUCAGAUGGGGAGAAUUCAGCAAUUACGUCAAAGGAUGGGCGUGGGUGUGGGAAAAAGGAGAUUUCUUUUGAGGAGGCUUUAGCUAUCGCAGGAAAGAGGCGUCGACACGUCUCCUACGCAAACCAAACCGCCUUACAUCGGCGGCCACCACCGUUCCAUCCGCAUUUUUCUUCCUCCCAUCUCCCUCUCUCUCUCGAUCGCCCUGUGUCAAGAAAAAAAGAGAUACAGGAUAUUAUAUAUUUAUAUAUAUAUAUAUAUGUAUACAUAAAUAAUAAUUUUCGCUUUCGCUGCUGCGAUAUAUACUUUGAGACGAGACGAGACGACGACACCGCCGAGAAUUCUUGGAUUUCCAGAAGCCCCGAAUCGGCGAAUCAUCCAUCCAUCCAUCCCCUCCUCUCU
rnacentral:lncRNA from 1 species